rnacentral:tRNA from 1 species
GCCAAUAUAGCUCAGUCGGUAGAGCAAUUCACUCGUAAUGAAUAGGUCAUCGGUUCGAUUCCGAUUAUUGGCU